AACGGCGAGUGAAGCGGCAAGAGCUCAAAUUUGAAAUCUGGCGCCUCCAGCGUCCGAGUUGUAAUUUGGAGAGGCAUCUUUGGGAGGGGCCCAGCCUAAGCUCCUUGGAACAGCACGUCACAGAGGGUGAGAAUCCCGUUCUUGGCCGGAUGUUCCCUCCCAUAAAAAGUGCCUUCGAUGAGUCGAGUUGUUUGGGAAUGCAGCUCAAAAUGGGUGGUAAAUUUCAUCUAAAGCUAAAUAUUGGCGAGAGACCGAUAGCGCACAAGUAGAGUGAUCGAAAGAUGAAAAGCACUUUGAAAAUAGAGUCAAACAGUACGUGAAAUUGUUGAAAGGGAAGCGCUUGAGACCAGACUCAGCCUCUGACAAACAACUGUCCUUCUGGGUGGUGCACUUGUCCUGGGCUGGGCCAGCAUCAGUUGGGACGGCGGGACAAAGGCCUGGGGAAUGUGACUCCUCUGAGGAGUGUUAUAGCCCCGAGUGCAAUGCCGUCUGACCCGACUGUGGACCGCGCUUCGGCUAGGAUGCUGGCGUAAUGGUCUUCAGCGGCCCGUCUUGAAACACGGACCAAGGAGUCUAACAUCUAUGCAAGUGUUUGGGCUCCAAACCCUCACGCGUAAUGAAAGUGAACGGAGGUGGGAACCCCAUCAGGGGCGCACCAUCGACCGAUCCUGAUGUCCUCGGAUGGAUUUGAGUAGGAGCAUAGCUGUUGGGACCCGAAAGAUGGUGAACUAUGCCUGAAUAGGGUGAAGCCAGAGGAAACUCUGGUGGAGGCUCGCAGCGGUUCUGACGUGCAAAUCGAUCGUCAAAUUUGGGUAUAGGGGCGAAAGACUAAUUGAACC
rnacentral:rRNA from 1 species